rnacentral:rRNA from 1 species
AAUACCCAAUGACGUCUCUAGAAGACAUCUGAAAGGGAUUAAAGAUUUAUCGGUGAUGGAUGGGGAUGCGUCUGAUUAGCUUGUUGGCGGGGUAACGGCCCACCAAGGGCGACGAUCAGUAGGGGUUCUGAGAGGAAGGUCCCCCACAUUGGAACUGAGACACGGUCCAAACUCCUACGGGAGGCAGCAGUGAGGAAUAUUGGUCAAUGGACGAGAGUCUGAACCAGCCAAGUAGCGUGCAGGAAGACGGCCCUAUGGGUUGUAAACUGCUUUUAUAAGGGAAUAAAGUGAGUCUCGUGAGACUUUUUGCAUGUACCUUAUGAAUAAGGACCGGCUAAUUCCGUGCCAGCAGCCGCGGUAAUACGGAAGGUCCGGGCGUUAUCCGGAUUUAUUGGGUUUAAAGGGAGCGUAGGCCGGAGAUUAAGCGUGUUGUGAAAUGUAGACGCUCAACGUCUGCACUGCAGCGCGAACUGGUUUCCUUGAGUACGCACAAAGUGGGCGGAAUUCGUGGUGUAGCGGUGAAAUGCUUAGAUAUUAGGAGGAACACCAGUGGCGAAGGCGGAUUGCUGGACGACAACUGACGGUGAGGCGCGAAAGCGUGGGGAGCAAACAGGAUUAGAUACC